GUCUUUUUGUUCUUGUUAUUGUUGCUAUCUCUUGGUUCUUGGGCCGCUCCCGCGGCAUAUGGAGGUUCCCAGGCUAGGGGUUGAAUCGGAGCUGUAGCCACCGGCCUACGCCAGAGCCACAGCAACGCGGGAUCCGAGCCGCAUCUGCAACCUACACCACAGCUCACGGCAACGCCGGAUCGUUAACCCACUGAGCAAGGGCAGGGACCGAACCCGCAACCUCAUGGUUCCUAGUCGGAUUCGUUAACCACUGCGCCACGACGGGAACUCCUGCUGCAGCUGUUUUUAUUAUAAAAGAUGCUAAAUUUCUGGAAGGCAGGGCCGUGCUCAUCUUUGUAUCUCAGGUGACCAUGGAGAGGGUGUGUGCAAGGGUGAACUUGAGUGACAGCAGCCAAAAGUGGACUGAGUUCCCUGGCCACUCAGAAGUCGGCUCCUGUUCUGGGAUUUCCUCCUCACGUUGUCCAGAAGGCGCUUAGCACGUAGUAUGUGCUCCUAAAAUUUCCUCAUCAAUUGCGAAAAUACAAGCCACUUGUCUUAGUCUGUUUGAGGCGCGAUAAGAAAAUACCGCAGACUGGGUGGCUUACAACCAAAGGAAAUGCCUUCCUCACUGUCCUGGAGCCCAGAAACCGAGCCCAGGGUCCCAGCACCGCUGAGUGAGGGCCCCUCUGGGUUGGCAGACGCUUCCUGUGUCCCCACGUGGUGGAAGGGCCAGGGACUUCUUUGCAAGGGCGCGGGUCCCACUGAAGAGGCCCCUCCCUCACAGUGUAUUCAAGACCCCUUCCGGCUCCCACCCCAGGGUUGGGAGCUCACCCCAAGAAUUUGAGGAACACAGACGUUCAGACCACAGCGCCACCUUUCAAAACAGACCCGAGGGCGCGAAGGAGCAGAGACCCGCGGAGCGGCCUCGGCCUCAGGAGUGGCCGCGGGGCGGGGGGCUGCCCUGGUGUCUGUGCGUCCUUCCCGCGUCCUUCUCACUCCUGUUUCCGAGGCGCAGCAACUCCAGGGUCUGAAUCGUGCUAGCAGUUGCUCAAUGAUGCCACAGCAUAUGCAGGGGAUUCUGGCAGGAACCGGGAUUGCAGAAGCAAAAGCCCCCCACCAAAGGUUUACGGCUUCUUGUCUGUCACCAGCUGAUUGUAAAGCUGAACCUAAAUAUGUCAUUCGUUCCGUGCAAACUCUCCAGCUGCAAACUCUAACUGUGAGCGUCAGGGCCCUCGGAGCUCCCUCCUCGUAGACAGAGGAGAGGCUCUGACCCCGAGGCCUGGGAGGGGCUCCCGGGCUCCUGGUCCCCCGGUCCCGGGGCUCACAGCCAUCCCGCGGGGCAGGAGGGUGCAGGCCCAGAGAGGAGAGCCCUGGUGUAAGUCCAUCCUGCCCUCCAGCCCGCGGCUUCCCAGGGGCAGAAGGCCUUCCAGGGGCACCCUCCUCGGAUCCUCAACACGAUCCUGAGAAGAGGGCGAAGGGAUGGCAUGAGCUCCGUUUUCAGAGGGAAACUCAUUUUCAGAACUGCAACUCGCUGGAGGCCACAGAGCCAGCCGUGGGCUCCAGGGUCCCGCCUGGAGCUCAGAGAAGCCCAGGCUUCGACUCCCUCCAAGACUAUGUGAGCCGCCCCUGGAGGGGCGCCUACUGCACCCCAAUGCCACGCACGCACUCAGGAGCUGGACCAGCCAGAGGGGAAACCGGCUCCCUGUGUUCGGGGGAGAGGACGUAGGUGCGAUGGGGUUUGCAGAGCUGAUCCAGGUCUUACCCUGGCCCCCCUGGCCCCGGCAUUCCCUUCAUUUAAGCAUUAUUUAAAGAAUUUCUAUUUAUAAAGAGCACAUAAUCCUGAGAUAUGUGAUACUUUAUGUCGCUAUUGAUUCAAAAACCAUUUGUUUUUCACACAGUGGGGAGGGUGGCAGGGUUGGUAUGGGUCCGCCUUCUCUCUCUGCCACACACGCACUCGCGCACACACACGUGCAUGCGUGCGCAUCGGGUUUCAGGCCCUCUCUUCCCGCAGGGAGAGAACACCAGAGCAUGGAGAUUACAAGGGUUUGGACACAGGAUUUAGGGAGAGUUACAGACGUAAGAGCAUGUUUUUAUCCAGAUUUACUGAAGCGCAGCAUCUCGGCACAGUGACUACCUCGCGGCUCUGGGGCGCGCUCUGCUCUCCACGUGGCCGACUGAGGCUGCUGCAGGAGGUCCCCCUGGAUGGCAGGACAGAGGGGUGGCCUGGGAGCCCCUGGCCCUUGACAAAAGCACCAGGGAGAGCAGCCCGAGACGAGCUCGGCUCAGCCCAGGGUGGCAGGAAUCAGGACAGACAAGGAGAUGAGACGAGGCGCCAUGAGAUGCAAACACAUCGUGGUGUCCCCACAGGAGGAGAUGGGCACGGGUGUCAGGUCACCAAUUAGGAGCCAACUCUACGGUGGGGGCAGGAGGCUGUCAGGAGGACGCACGGCUGAGCUUUCGCGGUUCUUGGGGUCCCAAGAUACCAACCAGAGGAGCUUCCUGGGGGAGGAGACAGUAGGGACGAGAGGGCAGAGGGAAGAGAGGAGGGCAGGUCCGCAGGUUCUGAGGAUGCAGGAAGCCUCCCCCGCCCUCCAUGGGCCAGAGGGUCAGGCUCGGGCUUUAGACCAGCGGCCCCGAGAACAGAGUGCAGGGGGAGGGGUCGUGACACAGGGUGGGGGUCGCAGAGGAGAGGAGCCCAACCCUCCACCCCUGACCUGGGGUGCCCCUCGGGCAGAGUCGCCGCCCACCACACCAGGACCAAGGCAUUUCCAGUCGCAAGCUUGCUGGGUUUUCGGGGCUCUAGCAGCAUAUGAAUGAAAAGUCCCUCUUGUUCACAAAGCUCAAAAGUGAGGAAUCUUUGGAAUUUUUGAAAUUACACUGUAUCUGAUGGCCCUGUGAUGUUAUGUGUAGUUGCAGCUGUUGGUAAAGGUUAUCAACAUAGGCACUUCACUAUUCCUGGUGCACUUUCUUGCAGAAUAUGUGCUAGAAAAAUUAGUUUGGAAACACCCAAAAUCUAUAGAAAAGUGCAAACGUAAAAAUUCCUUCUGAUAAAUUUUAAUUUUAAUGUGUCUAUGGAUGUUGUAUCUUUGCCAAAUAAUUCUACUUCCUGGGGUAAGAAGAAAGACAGACAAAAAGAAGGGAACAAGGCAGGUGAGAAGGAGACGCGAGGGAGGGAGGGCUGGAAAUGCUCGGAGCAGACCCAGAGCAGGCGAGGUCGCUGGCGUUUUGAAGGCUUGGGAAACACUGUGACUACCUAUGGGAGAGACCCUGGCAAUCGUGUUUUGAUAUUAUCCAGUCUGUAGUGAUUAAUAACGGUAAACAAGGAGACAGACAUAUCUUCAGUGUCAAUGCACGCACGUGUUCAAAGGAACACUUUUGACAAAGUAGAACAAAACCAGGGCCGCCUGCACCAGAAGAUGAAAUGGACGUGUGCAGUGUUGCCAGGGACGCGGGGCAGAAGGAAAUACAGCAAGAAAGAUUCAGUUGUGCAAAGACACACUUGAUUGAUUGAUUGAUUGAUUGAUUGAAGUUUCGGGUUUUUAGGGCCGCACCUGUGACAUCUGGAAGUUCCCAGGCCAGGGGUUGAAUGGGAGCUGCAGCUGCCAGCCUACACCACAGCCACUGCAACGCGGGAUCUGAGAAGCGUCUGCCACCUGCACUGCAGCUUGAGACAAUGCUGGGUCCUUAACCCACUGAGCGAGGCCAGGGAUUGAACCUGCAUCCUUGUGGAUACUAGUCAGCUUUGUUGCCACUGAGCCACAACAGGAAUGCCCCCAAAGGCAUAUUUUAAACAUAUACUUUUUAAAAUGAAGAGUUUGGAGUUCCCACUGUGGCACAGAGGAUUAAGGAUCCAGCAUUGUCUCUGUGGUGGCACGGGUUCAAUCCCAGGCCCGGAAAAUUCUAUUGGAAAAAAAUAAAAUAAAAUGAAGAGUUUAAGUAGCAAAGCAGUAUUUUUUAAACUUAAAAAAAAAAAAUGAAAUUGUUCCAUAAGAUAAUUUUAUAAAAAAUUUGCCCAGCCCUCUGUGUCUAGACCCAGGCACAUGUCUGGGCAGCGGGACACAGGGUUCCCACCUGCGCCCCCACCUCGGUUCUGCAGGGUGAGCGGGUUCUCCUUCUGUGAUGAUGCAGCACCCCGACCCCCACUGUAAUCGCAGGUGGCCUGACUCAGGACAACUCCUCACCGUACGUUUGCACUUUUCUAUAGAUAUUGGGUGUUUCCAAACUAAUUUUUCUAGCACAUAUUCUGCAGCGCGAGGCUCUGGAGAUGGACGUGAUGGGGUCACAGCCUGCCUGUCAUGACCUGGGGACACAAUUGUGUCCUGCUGUCUGUGAAGUGGGGACAGUCACUGUAUCCAGCUGAGAAGGGCCAGCAGAAGGACUAGUGGGGAUGGCACAGCUGGAACCCUGGGGACUCCCCACAUGUCUGCUCCCCAACAACAGUUAAGCACAGCCUCCGAUGCAUCCAGUGACCCUUUUCUUCCCUUCUUCUGUCUCGGGCAGCUCAGGCUGCUGCAACAAGCACACCCCAGUGGGCUACGUCCUGCCUGCCUGGUGCACCUGCAUUGCAGGCAGGGCGGAGCGGGGCAAGCAGACUCUGGAGUCUUUUAUCAGGUCGCUAAUCCCUCCACAAGGGCCCCACCCUCGCGACCCAGUCACCUUGGGGGUCGGGGCUUCAGUAGAUGAGUUUAGGGCACACAAGCUUUCAGGCCACAACAGUGCCUGAUGAGCCUUUCACCCUGACAUGGUUCCUUGUGGAAGGUGUGAGCUUUAAAAAACAGUAAAGAGCAAAGCGAUUGUCGCUAAGGAGGGAUUAGGGCAUUUUUAGCAGGGAUUAUGCAAUCCUGAUGUAUUAUUUAAGUGAAAUACACCAGUCACUCUGUACUUUAUGCCUUCUUUCUAUGUCCUUGUGUUUUAAAAGCUCUAUAAAAAGCGAAUGACUCAGCAUGAAUUGCAUUGUGUGCAAACAAAUACAUCCCUCUGCCUGGUGCCCAGAUGCGGGAGGGUGAACCCAGGCUGUCCUGAUUCCCACGUUCCUUCGUGGUGAGGUUUCAUCACCCUCCAGAGCCAAAGCACUGAACGCAAGGAAAUGGGGGUCUCGACGGACAGAAAUGGGGGCAAAUCCCAUAAGCUUAUGUCCCAUCGCACUCCUCAUGGGUGCGCAGGGCAUGCGGCCAGCCUCCAACAGCAACGGCCUGGACCCACCCGUCACCUGCCCGGGCCUAAACUUCACCCUAGUCUGUGGGGGCUUCAGGCCACUCCUGGUUUCCAAUCCUGUCUGCAUUUCACAUGGUGUUUGUGUAAACAUCACAGGGUCAGAACCACCCUAACCACCCACUAUGCAACUCUACAACAAACAAUGAAACUCUUAGAGCCUGUAAAAUCAGAGUCAGAAGGUGGGGUCAGUGCCUAUAAACUGGUCUCCAGCUCGCUCUUCAUUCGCUGCUAAAAAGACCUAUAAUUUCAAUGAAGAAAGCCGGCCAAGAGGGAUGAUCUCUCCCUCAAAACCACUUAGCGAAGACAGCCAUUCUGUUCACACUUGAACGUUUCGGUGGUUUAGGGAAGAAGAGGCAGGUGCUAGGAGAGGGAUAUGCCUCAUUUGCUGUCAACCGACAGGUCCACCCAACCACGCAAGCGUACCCAAGCUCAGUGACAGUCACGUGAAACAAGAGGACAGCCGCCUCUGGAGGAGCAAGUUCCCUGGGUGCACAGGAAGCGUGUAAAGCAGAACCAGGUCUGAGACCAUCCUUCUUCAGGAAGGAGAGUGAGCAGGUCAGGAUUCUGUAAGCGGACACCUGGGCACCUGCUCAAGUGCCCCUGAGCUGCACGGGGGUGGUGGGGGCAGGUGGGGCAAGGGGCCUUGUUACACAUCCUUCUAGUUGCUUCCAGAUUAACUGCCCCCGAGCAGGGGUCUUGGUGGACCUGCCUUGACCCUUUACUACACAUUGCUGCCUGUGCCAUGAGCUGCCCCCAGCUGCAGGUGUGGACGUAGGUGUGGACCAUCAGACUGUGGUCUCAUGUGUUAGCCUUUCAUUGACACGUCCGUCUUGAAAAUUCUUGUCUUACACGCCAUGCAACUAUAAAAAAGUCCGUUUGUAUGAUAAAACCCAAUGAAAAAUGCAGACAUUUUGAACAAAUCUGUAUAAAAAUGAAAAGCAUUCAAGACCAGACAACCAGUUUGCUUUAACAUAGCUUAAAAUUUCUUUCUGUGAUGAGAAAAAUUCAAAGCGAGGACAGGUACGUGACCCACCCAAGGCCACACCGGGGUCUGAGC
ensembl:lncRNA